AGAAUACUUUCAGAAGAAUGAAAUAUUAGGAGUUCAUUAGCAUUUAAUAGAUAUAGAGUUGAAUGCUCCAAAAAUUCUCCUACAUAAUGGCCAACAUGAGGAAGUAGAUCAUACUGAAUUUAUUUUUUAGGAGCAUCCUAUCCAAGAAGGUGAAGAAGUGGAAGAAGAAGAGGAAUCGAAAAAAAAAUCCGAAGGGUACCAAACAUCUG
rnacentral:lncRNA from 1 species